GGAAUUGAAAGGGUACGAAGAGACACUAUAAAACAGACCUCUAGGGGACCUGUACAGCCGGGUGCCAGGGGCCGUGUGACUUCCCAGGCUAGAGCAUUAGAAUGCCACGCACUUCUGCCAGCUCUCUCUAGACACUGACCCUUAGACCCAAUCUGGGUGCUCAGAGGAAGUCCAAGCAGCCUGUGAUGAGGCCCCCAUGGAGAGAAACCAAGACUCCUAGCCCCCAGCCCAGAGAAGCUUCCAGACAAUGUCCAGAACCUCCUUGCCAGCCUCCUGAGUAAGGAAUCCCGACAUGGACCUCCCAGGUAUUGCUGUCAUCAUUUCUUCCUCCUG
rnacentral:lncRNA from 10 species